rnacentral:rRNA from 1 species
UACAGAGGGUGCGAGCGUUGUUCGGAAUUAUUGGGCGUAAAGGGCGCGUAGGCGGUGCGGUAAGUCACCUGUGAAAUCUCCUGGCUCAACUGGGAGCUUGCAGGCGAAACUGCCGUGCUGGAGUGUGGGAGAGGUGCGUGGAAUUCCGGGUGUAGCGGUGGAAUGCGUAGAGAUCCGGAAGAACACCGGUGGCGAAGGCGGCCUGCUGGGCAGUUUUGCUGACACUGAGGCGCGACAGCGUGGGGAGCAAACAGG